CCCCUAGAUGUUCUGGGCCGCACGCGCGCUACACUGAACAGUUCAACAAGUCUUAACCUUGGCCGAUAGGUCUGGGUAAUCUUUGAACGCUGUUCGUGAUUGGGAUAGACCUUUGCAAUUAUGGGUCUUCAACGAGGAAUUCCUAGUAAGCGUGAUUCAUCAAAUCGCGUUGAUUACGUCCCUGCCCUUUGUACACACCGCCCGUCGCUCCUACCGAUUGAGUGUGUUGGUGAGGAGUUCGGAUUGGCAGCAGGUGGUGGUUCGCCACCGCCUAUUGCUGAGAAGUUCUCCAAACCGCCCCACUUAGAGGAAGGAGAAGUCGUAACA
rnacentral:rRNA from 1 species